rnacentral:rRNA from 1 species
UACGGAGGGAGCUAGCGUUGUUCGGAAUUACUGGGCGUAAAGCGCGCGUAGGCGGCUUUGUAAGUUAGAGGUGAAAGCCCGGGGCUCAACCCCGGAACUGCCUUUAAGACUGCAUCGCUUGAAUCCAGGAGAGGUGAGUGGAAUUCCGAGUGUAGAGGUGAAAUUCGUAGAUAUUCGGAAGAACACCAGUGGCGAAGGCGGCUCACUGGCCCGAUACUGACGCUGAGGUGCGAAAGCGUGGGGAGCAAACAGG